AGCGAACGCUGGCGGCAGGCCUAACACAUGCAAGUCGAACGAACUCUUCGGAGUUAGUGGCGGACGGGUGAGUAACACGUGGGAACGUGCCUUUAGGUUCGGAAUAACUCAGGGAAACUUGUGCUAAUACCGAAUGUGCCCUUCGGGGGAAAGAUUUAUCGCCUUUAGAGCGGCCCGCGUCUGAUUAGCUAGUUGGUGAGGUAAAGGCUCACCAAGGCGACGAUCAGUAGCUGGUCUGAGAGGAUGAUCAGCCACAUUGGGACUGAGACACGGCCCAAACUCCUACGGGAGGCAGCAGUGGGGAAUCUUGCGCAAUGGGCGAAAGCCUGACGCAGCCAUGCCGCGUGAAUGAUAAAGGUCUUAGGAUUGUAAAAUUCUUUCACCGGGGACGAUAAUGACGGUACCCGGAGAAGAAGCCCCGGCUAACUUCGUG
rnacentral:rRNA from 1 species